rnacentral:rRNA from 1 species
GACGAACGCUGGCGGCGUGCUUAACACAUGCAAGUCGAACGGAAAGGCCCAGCUUUUGUGGGGUGCUCGAGUGGCGAACGGGUGAGUAACACGUGAGUAACCUGCCCUUGACUUUGGGAUAACUUCAGGAAACUGGGGCUAAUACCGGAUAGGAGCUCCUGCUGCAUGGUGGGGGUUGGAAAGUUUCGGCGGUUGGGGAUGGACUCGCGGCUUAUCAGCUUGUUGGUGGGGUAGUGGCUUACCAAGGCUUUGACGGGUAGCCGGCCUGAGAGGGUGACCGGCCACAUUGGGACUGAGAUACGGACCAGACUCCUACGGGAGGCAGCAGUGGGGAAUAUUGCACAAUGGGCGGAAGCCUGAUGCAGCAACGCCGCGUGCGGGAUGACGGCCUUCGGGUUGUAAACCGCUUUCGCCUGUGACGAAGCGUGAGUGACGGUAAUGGGUAAAGAAGCACCGGCUAACUACGUG